ACUAUUUUGGCAGAUUAGUGCAAUAAAUUUAGAAUUUAUUUAUGUAAUUUAAAGUUACAAAUAGUA
rnacentral:tRNA from 1 species